rnacentral:rRNA from 1 species
CAAUAGCGUAUAUUUAAGUUGUUGCAGUUAAAAGCUCGUAGUUGGAUUUCGGAUGUGAACGACCGGUCCGCCGUUGCGGUGUGCACUGGACGUUUGUAUCUUGUUGUCGGGGACGCGCUCCUGACCUUAACUGGGAGGGACGCGGAGUCGGCGCUGUUACUUUGAAAAAUUAGAGUGUUCAAAGCGGGCUUACGCUUGAAUAUUUCAGCAUGGAAUAACACUAUAGGACUCCUGUCCUAUUUCGUUGGUCUCGGGACGGGAGUAAUGAUUAAGAGGAACAGUUGGGGGCAUUCGUAUUUCAUUGUCAGAGGUGAAAUUCUUGGAUUUAUGAAAGACGAACUUCUGCGAAAGCAUUUGCCAAGGAUGUUUUCAUUAAUCAAGAACGAAAGUUGGGGGCUCGAAGACGAUCAGAUACCGU